rnacentral:rRNA from 1 species
GACGAACGCUGGCGGCGUGCUUAACACAUGCAAGUCGAACGGAAAGGCCCUGCUUUUGUGGGGUGCUCGAGUGGCGAACGGGUGAGUAACACGUGAGUAACCUUCCCUUGACUUUGGGAUAACUUCAGGAAACUGGGGCUAAUACCGGAUAGGAGCUCCUGCUGCAUUGUGGGGGUUGGAAAGUUUCGGCUGUUGGGGAUGGACUCGCGGCUUAUCAGCUUGUUUGUGGGGUAGUGUCUUACCAAGGCUUUGACGGGUAGGCGGCCUGAGAGGGUCACCGGCGACAUUGGGACUGAGAUACGGACCAGUAGCGUACGGGAGGCAGCGGUGGGGAAUAUUGCACAGUGGGCGGAAGCCUGAUGAAGAAGCGCCGCGUGCGGGAUGAUGGCCUUCGGGUUGUAAACAGCUUUCGGAUGUGCCGAAGCGUGAGUGACGGUAAUGGGUAAAGAAGCAACGGCUAACUACGUG